CACAUUCAUCGGCAUCUGAUGCGGGCCAAGUUUGUUCUCAUGCUAUAAAACGGGAAGUCAGUAACACGGCAGGUCACAGAAUUUUUCCAGUCAAUUUUUUUUUAAGCCAAAAAGUUCUUUAAGAGGAAAUCAAAAUGGAGAACCCUCGAGGGAAGUAUCAGAGGAGGGAUCCCGAUUUUAUCUGCAACUGUGGUUAAAGAAAAUAAUCAAAAAAAAAGUUUAAUCUUCUGAAAUGCCAUAUAAAAUGUUUUGUAUUGUAGUAUUUGUUAAUCAGGACGUUUUAUUCAAAUAAAAUAAAAGCUGUGCUUCUUUAGAAUUGCUGCUUCAACACAUCUUCAUAUCCUGCAAAACCAGUAUCCUUAAAUUAUAUUAUACAGAUGGUUAUAUUAGUGCUUAAAUUGCAUUUGAUGCUUUCUGCAGAUUGCCCCAGCUUUCCUUUCCUGGCUGAUUGGCUGCCAGUCAUCUUUAUGUCUGUCUGUCUUUUUUUAAUCUGCAGUAUUACGUGUGUGAGCUCUGUCUGAGGCAGUGCCCCCGUCAGAUUUUCAAGGUGUCAGUCUGUGGUUUGCUGCCUCCUCUGCAUGAUACUGGUUGGAGUUUUUGUGAGAAACAUUGUGCACGAGAGAGCAGGGGGCUGAUGUUUGUGAGAAAAUGAGAACAGAACUGAAUAGAGCUCAUGAAAGAGACGACAGAACACAUAUGAAGAGCCUGCCUUUCUCACACACAGUGAGACAAAACAUCAUGGUGGCUGAACAGUCCAGUCUGUUAAUUUAGUUUUUGCAUAUCCCACUUUGGUUCAAAUAGCCUAUAUAGGCGUUUCUUUACAAUGAAUAUCAAUCUUUUCAUAAAAGAAUAUAGUCAUAUAUCAAUAUUUGACACGAACACAAACAUAAAAUGAAUGACAAAUGCUUUCAGUUUCGUUAUUGCAAAAAACACACUUUUCCUCAACAUCAAUCCUGAAUCUUAAUACCACUGUUAUUUUAUUUGAUACACGUAUUAUAGCAGUGAGUGCAGCGGUAACGUCAGAUCCUAUUUAUGCUGGGGAGAGAGGGUAGUUCGUCUGAAAGUUGUCGUUGUAGCCUAUUUAAAACCUAUGCGGGUUAGGGAGCUUGAUUUGGCCUGGAGGGUGACUUCGACCAGAGUUCACUCCCUGUGGAUUGGAAGUGGCGAGGGUCUAGUUUCGGAAAGGCCCUGUCUGUCAUUUGUCCCACACUUAUAGCAUCACCUGGACAUUUGCUGGAACAUUUCACGGCACCUCUACCAAACAUCCCCCACCCCCCGCCUUCACUCCGACAGUCUGACAUAGGCUACUUAACACAGUUACACACAGAUGCAGGGAUUCCAGCUCUGUGUUCUGCAGAUAUGUUUUUAAGUAGGCUAACAAGCAUAGCUUUGAGGCCACAGGCUAUUUUAGGGAACCUUGCUUCCUCAAAGUGAGCUCUGUGUGAUUUCAAAGAUCCGCUAGGUAGGUCUUUAAAAUUGGGAUUUAUUACAGUCCAGCUUUCAGGGAUGACAUCCACAAGGGGCCCAAGCCUGUUCCUGGUGCUUGCCUCCAUGAGAAAAAAACAACACCACAUUUCACUAUCAGCAUGGGUGAAACACCAAAUGUAGCGCAAAAAGUAAGGAAAUUUGUGUUUGCUAGAUUAUUUCUUUGUUGCAUCAAUGCUUCUUGGCAAUACAUCGUAUGCCAUUGGAAAGCCUGUAAAAUGGUGCCACAUUUGUAAGGAACAUGUAUUUGUGGGAUCAGCAGCAGAGCAGAGUGUGUGGGUUGUGCCCACGAAAAAUGUGCUAAAUGUUCUCUGAAAAUGCCAAACAGCUUUUCUUUGCUGUUGACUCUUGUUUGGUGUUUUGGUAGUUUUUGGUAAUUGUAGUAUCACAUUACUAGACUUACAGGUUUUGAGUGUUGAGCCACAGCGGCAGUGGCCGAGCCUACAUUACUAAACAUUCUACGCUACGGCUGCUUUGGAAGUUAACAUUUUCACAUAAGUUUUACCUUAAUGAAAUGCUCAGAUGAAGUGAUUCUUUCCAUUUGGCAGAAUCUCAAACCUCCAACACACACAAUCAAGGUAAGCAAUACCAUCCUGUUGCAUUCAGGCAGUCAUAAACCCUCGCUGAGCAAAUAUUUACAUUAACUGUCAUCACAGGUAUUCAUAUAUGCAGUAUUACUAUACUUUCAGCUUUAACGCAGAAUACGUACAUUUAUAUUUGAAAAACUAUUAGAAAAAAUUAGAAAUGUGUGGAAUAUUACUAUUAAACUUAAACUGAGCUUUCUUGAAGGUCUAUGAAGGAUAGGAGACAUUUUUAGCUAACAUUUGACCUUUAGCCUGCUAUGUAGUUGUUGUGGGGUAUUUCAUUUCACUCUACAUCACUUACAGCAUGCCAUGCUACAGAGUACUGUGUGACCUCACAGCCAUCUUGACUGGCAGGAAGCAGGUGUUUGUGGUUCUUUGCAGCUCAGUGGUUUAGCAUGUGCAAUAGUUGCCUCCAGGAUGUGAAUCCUUUAAACUAGCAGUGUUAGCAGCAUGCAGCGCUGUGGAAAAGCAAUGCAUUCCUCAGUUUUACAAUUUUUGGACUUACUACUUUCUGCUGGGAAGUUUGGCUGUAUUCAAUCUCACAUCCAUGUGGAAUUAUGAAAUCACAUCAGUUUAGAAAUUAGACAGCGAGAAAUCUCAUGAUGAAUAAGGGAAAAGGCCAGCCUUUCAUUGCCAGCACACUCUGUCAAUCAGCUCAGCGCAGCGGGGUUCUGCAGAGGAACAGAAAGUAUGGAAGAAAGUCAGGGCUUCACACUGUUAAGGACCCCUGCAAGUUACUGUCAAUAAGAGAUAUGCUGCGUAGAAAAGCUCAUGUUUUGGAAAACAAAGGACUGUUUGACACUGUCACAGGAACAAGGAGUGGCUUGGCGCUACGAGACAGAGCACUGAUGUCUGAUCCAGACAAAAGCCUUGCUUGUCUGGAUCACAGUGGCUGCUGUGUUGAAAAUUUCAACUCUCAAGUCUCAACCUGGCUCGACAGAAAGUUAUUCUCAUUUUAACAGCAUUAUCAAAGUUCUCCAAAGAGAGAACUGGAUCACAUUGGUGCAAUUAAUUAUUGUGCUAUUGCCCAAGUAUUGUUUACCUCAGCAUAUGUUUCCUUCUUGGUUAGUGCAGCUCUGGCUUUUUUCUGUCUCUGCCCCCCUUCAGCGUAUCUCUCCAGCUAUAAAUUCUCAAAAUGAUUCAAAAACGCACGCAGUUUGAUACACACCCCUGCCAAAACAUCGCCCUUAUACUCUUCCAAUCAGCCACUUCCUUUCAGCUCCUUUACUGUUUCCUUUAUCUUUCUUCUGCUCCAUAUCACCUCCCUCAUUAUGUAGCCACACAAGAGGAUGAUGGAGACACAACAAGCCAUCCACUGCCACCCUUCCAUAAUAUAUAACUGGACAUGAGCUUUAAUAGACACUGUUUCAUCUCUCACCUCUCUCCCACUUUUUCUCUUUCAGUUUUCAAGGGAAAUCAAGGUUCCAUGUGGCCUGACUGAUUACACCCUGAUUGAUUCAAAUUUAAUUUAAUUUAUAUGGACAGAAUGGAUCUCAGCCACGAGGACCCAACAGCAGUUUCACAAGAUUGCCUUUGUGUUUCUGAGGGGAAAGGUUCCUUGUCAAUAUGUCUAUAUUGUUUUGUUCAUAGUGUUAGUGUUGUCUGUACUGUAGUUUGUGUCUGAUUUUAUUUUAUUAUUAUUUUAUUAUUGUAUUAUGGUAUUUUUGUACAAGUAAGCACAUCGGGAGCAAUGUAUAAUCCUGAGUCGAAUUCCUCGUAUGUGUACACAUACCUGGAAAUAAAGCGGAUUCUGAUUCUGAUUCUUCUUGGCAUAGGCUUUGCAGGCACUUGAAUGCAAGUGGGCUCAGAGAAUGUGAGUGACAUGCGGAAGGGCAGAAACAGAUCAAGAGGCACGCAGAAGAGACAGGAAACACAAGAGAGACAGUCAACAGUGGGCCAAGUCCGACUAAACACAACUGGAACACAAAGUUAAGCCACUCAUGAAGCUGCAUGGAUCUACAGAUGAUUUUCAACCAUUCAAUGUGAUGGCAGAGAAUUGUAAAUUGGAAUUCAGUCUACUGCUGAUUCCAGUGUAAAACCUGCAGGGUUGAACACGUCAAUUGAGAUCCUUGUAUUUACCGGGAAUACAAAUCAAAAUAUGUAUAUGUUUGUGUUUGUGCACCUUUGCAUACUGAGGACAUUUGUUCUCCUACUGCUCCUAAUGCUAUUUGCAAGAAUCCAUGGCGACCAAGGAAUGAGGUUUUGCAGGGCAAACGGCUCCUUCUGCUGCCUAACGAACUUGUGGGAUUGGUUCGGAGGGGCUUAGCAGAGUGAUAGAAGCAGCAGAGAGAGAUAAGGAAGGUUUUGCAUUGUAUGUUCAGUUGUUGCCGACUGUAGCUUUAAGUCUCAGCUUGAAAUGGAGCAAAAUAAUUUGAAGUGGCAGCCUAUGGUUAAUAUUUUUUAUAAAUAAAUAAAUUAAGCCAAAUCUGUAAUGGAA